CUUGUAGAACGGUGUGAUCCCU
rnacentral:siRNA from 1 species